rnacentral:lncRNA from 1 species
ACAAUCCUGUACAAACUGAAGUUGGGGGAGAUUGUCACCACCAUCCCAACCAUAGGCUUCAAUGUAGAAACAGUGGAAUAUAAGAACAUCUGUUUCACAGUCUGGGACGUGGGAGGCCAGGACAAGAUUCGGCCUCUGUGGCGGCACUACUUCCAGAACACUCAGGGCCUCAUCUUUGUGGUGGACAGUAAUGACCGGGAGCGGGUCCAAGAAUCUGCUGAUGAACUCCAGAAGAUGGUGAGAGGACGAGCUGCGGGAUGCAGUGCUGCUGGUAUUUGCCAACAAGCAGGACAUGCCCAACGCCAUGCCCGUGAGCGAGCUGACUGACAAGCUGGGGCUACAGCACUUACGCAGCCGCACGUGGUAUGUCCAGGCCACCUGUGCCACCCAAGGCACAGGUCUGUACGAUGGUCUGGACUGGCUGUCCCACGAGCUGUCAAAGCGCUAACCAGCCAGGGGCAGGCCCCUGAUGCCCGGAAGCUCCUGCGUGCAUCCCCGGGAUGACCAGACUCCCGGACUCCUCAGGCAGUGCCCUUUCCUCCCACUUUUCCUCCCCCAUAGCCACAGGCCUCUGCUCCUGCUCCUGCCUGCAUGUUCUCUCUGUUGUUGGAGCCUGGAGCCUUGCUCUCUGGGCACAGAGGGGUCCACUCUCCUGCCUGCUGGGACCUAUGGAAGGGGCUUCCUGGCCAAGGCCCCCUCUUCCAGAGGAGGAGCAGGGAUCUGGGUUUCCUUUUUUUUUUCUGUUUUGGGUGUACUCUAGGGGCCAGGUUGGGAGGGGGAAGGUGAGGGCUUCGGGUGGUGCUAUAAUGUGGCACUGGAUCUUGAGUAAUAAAUUUGCUGUGGUU